rnacentral:tRNA from 1 species
GGUGGGUUGGCUCAGUGGGUAGAGCUAAGGGCUCGCAAUCGGGAGGUCCGGGUUCGAAUCUCGCAAGAGGCUG